AAGUGAUCCAGUAGGAUCUUGACAGUCUUUAUAUCCUUAUGCUAUCAUCGAAGUUCAUUUGACAUGGAUGCCAAUACAUAGCACCGAGCUUUGUUAUCAUCAUCCAUCUACUUUUCAUAUGCUGCCUUUUGAUCAGCAGUCGAUGGGCUGGUAGUAUAGAGGUGUCCUAAUUCAUGACAUAGCUCAGCUUCUCGAAAGUCAAAAUAAUUUUCAAGUUUUGGAGCUAGUUUUUAUAAUUUGAACCAAUUAGACGGUUGGUUUCGAGUAUAUGGAUGA
rnacentral:lncRNA from 1 species